AUGGCGACCGAUGCGUCCCGCGCUCUAGGCGAAGACCGCGGCCCCGUCCCCGCGCCUCCACCGCCUUCUUCCAGGAGGAGGGGCCGUGCGGCGCCUGCCCGGGGGCCCUCAGGCCGCAGGCGGGCGCGAGCUUCAGGGAACUUAGGGGGCUCCCGCCUCCCCGGCCACGCGAGCGGGAACAGUCUCCUCCACUCGGAGCGGCGCCAUCUUCAGCUCUGAGUCACCAGGGCUGGAAAAAUACUAGAUGCGCUACUCGUGGACUCGUGAAUACACUCGUGAAUACAGGCCAUUUCCUGUACCUACAGCCACCCGCUCCACUCAUCAUGCCUUACCUGGAUGAUGCAGAAGUCCCUGGAAACAGAAGGUCUCACCCUUCUUUAUCUUUCUCAUGGCUUUCCAAGGCUCUUUAUCAUGUUACUUUCCUGCUCAGAAUUCUUUAAUGACUUGCCUCAAUGACCAGAUACAUGUGAUCUACAGUCAGCCUUCCAGCCUCAUCAUUCCUCUUCCAUUUCCUCCCCAGAAACACUGUACUUUAUGAAGCUCCUCCAAGACGAACCUGUUGGAGAAUGUACUCCUUGGAAAUAAGGAAGAAAGAGGAUCCAGGGAACAGGAGUUUCACCACAGAGGAGCAGGAAAGGGAAUUCCCAGUAUGAUGGCAAGUUGCUAAAUUAAAUGUUUUGCCCAUUA
rnacentral:lncRNA from 1 species